rnacentral:rRNA from 1 species
GACGAACGCUGGCGGCGUGCCUAAUACAUGCAAGUAGAACGCAGUUGCGAACGGUUGAGUAACGCGUAGGUAACUGCCUGGUAGCGGGGGCUAACUAUUGGAAACGAUAGCUAAUACCGCAUACUACCAGCUGGACCUGCGUUGUAUUAGCUCGUUGGUGGGGUAACGGCUCACCAAGGCAACGAUACAUAGCCGAACGGAGAGGGUGAUAGGCAAAACUGGGACUGAGAGACGGCCCAGACUCAGACGGGAGGCAGCAGGAGGGAAUCGUCGGCAAUGGGGGGAACCCUGACCGAGCAACGCCGCGGGAGUGAAGAAGGUUUUCGGAUCGUAAAGCUCUGUUGUUAAGGAAGCGGUACUUAACCAGAAAGGGACGGCUAACUACGGGCCAGCCGCCGCGGUAAUAC